AUCGAACGCUGGCGGCAGGCCUAACACAUGCAAGUCGAACGAGUGGCGGACGGGUGAGUAGUGUCUGGGAAACUGCCUGAUGCAGGGGGAAAACUACUGGAACCGGUAGCUAAUACCGCAUACCAUCGGAUGUGCCCAGAUGGGAUUAGCUAGUAGGUGGGGUACAGGCUCACCUAGGCGACGAUCCCUAGCUGGUCUGAGAGGAUGACCAGCAAACCUGGAACGGAAACACGGUCCAGACUCCUACGGGAGGCAGCAGUGGGGAAUAUUGCACAAUGGGCGCAAGCCUGAUGCAGCCAUGCCGCGUGUAUGAAGAAGGCCUUCGGGUUGUAAAGUACUUUCAGCGUGGAGGCGUUACCCGCAGAAGAAGCACCGGCUAACUACGUGCCAGCAGCCGCGGUAAUUC
rnacentral:rRNA from 1 species